UACGUAGGGUGCGAGCGUUAAUCGGAAUUACUGGGCGUAAAGCGUGUGCAGGCGGUCUGUUAAGACAGGUGUGAAAUCCCCGGGCUUAACCUGGGAAUUGCGCUUGUUACUGGCAGACUAGAGUGCGUCAGAGGGAGGUGGAAUUCCACGUGUAGCAGUGAAAUGCGUAGAGAUGUGGAGGAACACCGAUGGCGAAGGCAGGUCUCUGGGCUGACACUGACGCUCAUGCACGAAAGCGUGGGGAGCAAACAGG
rnacentral:rRNA from 1 species